GGACUACUGGGGUAUCUAAUCCCGUUUGCUCCCCUGGCUUUCGCGCCUCAGCGUCAGUAGAGGUCCAGCACGUCGCUUUCGCCACCGGCGUUCCUUCCGAUAUCUACGCAUUUCACCGCUCCACCGGAAGUUCCACAUGCCCCUACCUCCCUCUAGACGACCAGUAUCAAAGGCCCGUUUCCGGUUAAGCCGAAAGAUUUCACCCCUGACUUGGUCACCCGCCUACGCGCCCUUUAAGCCCAGUGAUUCCGAACAACGUUUGCACGGUUCGUCUUACCGCGGCUGCUGGCAC
rnacentral:rRNA from 1 species